rnacentral:rRNA from 1 species
UAGGGAAUAUUGCAAAAUGGGCGAAAGCCCGAUGCAGCAACGCCGCGUGGGCGAUGAAGGCCUUCGGGUCGUAAAGCCCUUUUUGAGGGGAUGAGGAAGGACAGUACCCUCAGAAUAAGCCUCGGCUAACUACGUGCCAGCAGCCGCGGUAAAACGUAGGAGGCGAGCGUUAUCCGGAUUUACUGGGCGUAAAGCGCGUGCAGGCGGAUUGGAGAGUUGGAUGUGAAAGCUCCCGGCUUAACUGGGAGAGGUCGUUCAAUACUUCCAGUCUUGAGUACAGUAGAGGGAAGUGGAAUUCCGGGUGUAGUGGUGAAAUGCGUAGAUAUCCGGAGGAACACCAGUGGCGAAAGCGGCUUCCUGGACUGUAACUGACGCUCAGACGCGAAAGCUAGGGUAGCAAACG